GCAGAAUAGCACAUUACACAGUGAAAUGUUGAGUAGUUCACGUUGACAGCACUCUCGCCUCUUUCGAGUAAUUCACAUCAAAAGUACUUUAACGUAUUUAUCAGUGUUGCCACCCUCCACAACAAAUGGAAGUGUUUCGGAUUAUUUGAGUGUUCCCCACCUGUCUCGUAGGCAAGCUCACCGAAAUUUUCAAAUCCCUCAAAGAGGUCAAUUUGCAAAUUUGCCCCCCAACAUCAUUGUGCACCCCCUACUGGGAUUUUACCUGCACCACAGAUUAAUCAUCCCAGUGUAAAAGCAAAUGUGCGCGACAAUGUAUCGAAUUGUCCUCCUCCUAGUGUUCACCUGUGCUGGUUUAACUGAACCUGCAUCAGUUGGUGGCAAAGGUGAAUAUGAUCCAAUGCACCCACAAUUGCCUAUUAUAAAUGAUGGAAUUGUAAAUGAGAAUGGACGUGUUAAACGUGGAGCGCUCCCUCUGAAAUUCAUAGCACCCGAAAUGGAGACACACGGUGAAUAUUGGACGAAUAUGGCACAAAAUAUUCUCCAGUUGCAAUUACGAAAAAAUCACCUCAACAAGAAUAUGGCGAGGAAUGUUAUUCUCUUCAUUGGGGACGGUAUGUCCAUUGCAACUGUUACCGCAAGUCGCGUAUACAAUGGGGGUGAGGAGCAACAGCUGUCAUUUGAUAAAUUCCCUUAUUCCGGCCUAUCGAAGACAUACUGCGCUAAUACCCAAGUCGCGGAUUCUGCAUGCUCAGCCACGGCAUAUUUAGGUGGAGUAAAGGCAAAUUACGCCACCCUCGGUGUGACCGCAUCAGUGGCCCUCAGUGACUGUGGUGCAGAAAAUAGAACAUCUAACCAUGUUGCAUCAAUUGCCGAAUGGGCUCAACGAAAUCAAAUGUCUACUGGAUUCGUAACAACCACGGAAGUUACAAAUGCCUCACCUGCCGGCCUGUACUCCCACUCAGCCAAUCGAAAUUGGGAAAAUGAUCGUCAGCUCAUAGCAGAUGGGGGAAAUCCUGAUGUUUGCACCGACAUUGCCAGGCAAUUGAUCCAUGGGAAAAUUGGUGAGAACCUCAAUGUUAUCAUGGGCGGUGGACGACGACAUUUCUUGCCGGAAUGGGAGACCGAUGUGGACGGUUCACCCGGAACGCGUGGUGAUGGUGUAAAUUUGAUCAAACAGUGGAAACGUCACCACAGAAAACAUGCAGCACGCUACACGGAGACACGUGAAGAACUCCAACAGGUGAAUGGUGCCACCGUUGACUACCUCUUUGGUCUCUUCAGCAAUGAGCACAUGCCAUUCCAUUUGGAGGAUGAGGCCGAGAAGAAGCCCACCCUCACGGAAAUGGUGUCCAAAGCAUUGGAUGUGCUCGAGAAGAAUGACAAAGGGUACCUACUCUUUGUUGAAGGUGGUAGAAUUGAUCAUGGACACCAUAAAACCCAAGCUGCACGUGCUUUGGAUGAAACCAUUGAAUUUUCAAAGGCCAUCGAACAUGCACGCCUCAGGACAAGUGAAAAGGAUACCCUAAUCAUCGUGAGUGCGGAUCACUCUCAUACCAUGGCGAUGGCAGGUUAUUCUGUGAGUAUUCUUUUUUUUUGUUUUGUUUUUGAUUUUCUAAUUGAAAAGGAAAUAUCUGGGAAAUCUCAUUGUGGGUGCAACGUUUAAGAGAAGAAGGGAAUCAAAGAUUUUUUUAAAUUGUCCUUUGUCUUGUGGUCAAGAUUUGUUUUUCUUUCUGAACAUUAAAUCUUAAGAAUAUUUUUUACCAUUUUUUUACCUGUGAUUCUUUCGAAGAAAAGAAUAGCACAGCUUCUGUGUACCACCUAAAAUGCAAUGUUGUCCGAUCGGGCUCAAACUUGGUAUGAGCACGAAUUAGGGUCCCCACAUUCCAAAAAACGUAUGCUCCAAAAAACUUUUCCGGCCGUCCGUCCGUCCGGCCGGCCGGCCGUCCGUCCGUCCGGAUUACAACGCUAAAUUGCAAGAGAACGGUAAUAGAUAGAGACUUGCGGUAAAAGGCAAAGUAUAAAUAUCGACUGGAAGAAAUCAGAUUAUGAGGUCAAAUCCAUCCCCCCACCCUUCCGUCCGCCAUUUUGGAACACCCCCAAUAUUUGUUUUCGCUAUAUCUCUGCCCCUGUAAUAGAUAAAAAUCUGAAAUUUUGAUAUGUUGUAGGGGCCAUCAAGACCUUUCCAACGAUACCUUAUUUUCGAAAAUCGGUCAAGCAGUUUAGUCAGUAUGGCCGCCACAAUUUUUCAUUGAAAAUCAGCUAUAACUCGAGAACGGCUUGACCGAUUUUGAUCAACUCAAGCUCAAAUGAAAGCUCUCAGCAAGCCCUACAACUUUCUAGAACAUCCGAAGUUUCAAAAGUGACCGCUAGAGGGCCAAAAAUCAAAAACAAAAUUUUCAAUUAGUUUUCGAUGAAUAUCUCGAAAACUGUACGAUAGAUUUGGAUGAAAUUUCAGUAUGUUAUAGUUGA